rnacentral:rRNA from 1 species
AUCCGCUCCAAAUCCCCACCCCCACCACUAAACCAAAAACCAAGUGUUUCCCCCCCUCUUUCACUCCCUCCCACCACGAAGCUUGUGGAGGUGGAGCCAGCACAGCACCGAAAUGGUACCACUCUCCUACGCGCCACCGCUACCGCCGCCGCAGUCGCGACCGAACCCCAGCCCUAGCCACAAGCCCAAGCCCCAGCCGUGCGUGCUUCUCUUCCCCGCCGCCCUCCGCACGGCGGCCGCGGCGGCCGCCAUCUCCUUCUCCCUCCUCGCGGGCAACGCCGCGGCUGUGGCGCCGGUGGAGCAGCCCCCGGAGAUAUGCCGCGGCCAGGACGACGGGAGGGAGGUGGAGGUGAAGGCCGAGGCGGUGACGAACGAGCAGCUCGUGGAGGAGGCGUGGGAGGUGGUCAACGAGGGCUUCCUCCCCGACGCCGGCAGCCGCCCGUGGUCACCGGAGCUGUGGAUGCAACGGAAGCAAGAUAUUCUUCAAGGCUCAAUCAAAUCCCGCUCUAGAGCCCACGACAUCAUCACGAAAAUGCUAGCUAGCCUGGGUGAUCCAUAUACAAGAUUCCUGUCGUCCUCAGAUUUCUCAAAGAUGUCAAAGUAUGACAUGACUGGUAUUGGGUUGAACUUACGAGAGAUUCCUGAUGACAAUGGUUCUUUAAGAUUGGUGGUAUUAGGACUGAUACUAGAUGGGCCUGCUCACUCUGCUGGUGUUAGACAGGUUAAGCAUGGCAACUGUGGUCCUGUUGAGUCAAUGAAAGUGCAAAGACAGAUGGCUGCUCGCACUCCAAUUUUCUAUCGUUUGGAGAAAAGAGACAAUGAGAAUUCAUCUGUCGGAUAUAUUCACAUUAAAGAGUUCAAUGCAGUGGCCAAAAAAGAUUUGGUCAGCGCACUGAAACGUCUACAGAAUUCAGGUGCCUCCUAUUUUGUUUUGGACCUGAGGGACAAUCUUGGUGGACUAGUGCAAGCUGGAAUAGAGAUUGCAAAGCUCUUCUUGAACAAAGGAGACACGGUCAUUUAUACUACUGGCCGGGAUCGUCAAGUCCAAAAUACAAUUGUUGCUGACAGUGGACCUUUGGUUACAACUCCUGUGAUGGUACUGGUGAACAAUAGGACAGCGAGUGCCAGCGAAAUAGUUGCUUCAGCACUUCAUGACAAUUGCAAAGCCGUUCUUGUUGGCGAAAGGACUUUUGGCAAGGGCUUAAUCCAGUCUGUAUUUGAACUUCAUGAUGGUUCUGGUAUUGUCGUCACAGUUGGCAAAUAUGUCACGCCAAAUCACAAAGACAUCAAUGGAGAUGGAAUAGAACCAGACUACCGCCGUCUUCCUGAUCUCAAUGAAGCCAGAGAUUAUCUUAUGCGUUGCCAAAGCAAGAAAUUAAAUUGAGGUGAAGUGCUUCAUUACAAAGCUUCUUACGCAGCAACACGUUAGAAGUAUGGAACGGAGGUUAUGCCCGGGAGAAUUGUACAGCGAAGAAUGAACUCUCCCUGGUGAGGCGAGACCGCAAGCUCUACAUCGAAGCAUUAAUGUAGGCUUCUGCAGAAAUCAGAGUGAGCAUGUCCUUGCAUUCUCACCGGUUCCGCAGCUCGGUAGAGAAAGGAAAGGAGAGAGCCCUUGGAUUGCAUUGGCUUCUGCUGAAUAUACCCAGCACCAGUAUGUAAAUAACCUGUGAUCCGUGUGCAACCAGUGGCAUUCGUUAUAUAAAGAAGUCCAACAGUAGCUCUAAUCCAAGCAUUUUGCCAAGACAACACUAUCUUAGAGCAACGGUAGCAGAUCCCCCAAAAAGGCAGCCUCCGAAAUCGUUUUGGAGUGCACUCUAAAUUUUACAGGACACAUUUGAAGUAUGGAGAAACAAAAAACUAGUCCUGUGGGCUGUGGCAAUCUUGGACACACGCAUCAGGCAUGGCAACAAGAUUCUAGUUGGGCGGUACCUCUGGACAAAUACAUUCCCAUGUUACAAACUUCUUUGCCUUGAGGAUAAGGCGCAACUCAAGAUGAUGAUAGUCUAUCAUGUCUCAAACUCAUCUGAAGAUUCACUUCUACCUGAAGAAACACAACACUAGCAUUGAGUGGAACAAAAUGCUCCAGAGAAUGAGCGACUGAGACGAGCCAAGGCGACUUAAGUGAAAGAUGUGCGGCUUUACAUUCUUUUGCUGACACCCUUUUCCCGGAACAUCAACGUUUACUUCUAGCUAUGCAGGCUCUAGUUACCAUUGUAAUAUCUCUUUUCCCUACUUAGAGCAUUACUAGUAGAG